CCUUUUAAAAUAAUUUUAUAAGAAUUGUCUUAAAGCCUCUUUAUUGAACACUGAACAGUUCAUGAUUAUUUCAACACAUUCCAAGACAAAUACUUUGCAUGCCAAGACAAAGCCGAUCCUACUGUAAUUCAAACAUGAGCUUAAUUAACCACAUGGUUUAUAGAUGCUGGCUACACUGAUAAUCACCACCAUGGUAUGUGCUCUACUCCCUCUGUGCUCCACCCGAGCCUUCAUCUCUGCCUCCGUUAUGGCAAGAAAGCAGAAUAUGCUGCUGCUGCCUACCAUAGAACAUUUGACGUGGACAGUAUUUUUUAGGGCAAGGGUAUUCCAUCUAGAUGUAAUGAGCCAAUUGUUAGGAUGUUUGGUAAGCAAUCUUCACGAUAUUGUAUGCAACAUGUACUAUUUCAAACAUUGAUGCAAUCUUAAAUUGUUCCAAGGCCAACAUGCCACCUAUGUAACUCUGCCUAUGCUGUCGAACAAGGGCAGCCAUAGUCAGUCUUAUGCCUAAAGCAUGCUAGUCGAGAAAGCCAUGCAGGUUGGUUAUGUACUCGGGUCCCUUCAUCACCUAGUUUACAUCCAUUCAGUCUGACGGGUCAUGCAACAAUGAUAUAGAGCACAACCACUAAAACUGUGGGCACUAGUGGACAUCCUGAUAAUGAUCGGCAAGUCGAAGGUGCAGAAUAGAAGGCUCCGUGGGAAUCCCAUGAAAACCACAUGUAUCAACAGUGGCGGACCCAGGAUUUAGUCACGACUAGGGCCAACUUUCAAAGGCGAAAUACCAAUCGCUACACCUAUGACUAUAUGUCUGUGUAUGUGUGUUAUAUUUGGUCG
rnacentral:lncRNA from 1 species